rnacentral:rRNA from 1 species
GAUGAACGCUGGCGGCGUGCCUAAUACAUGCAAGUCGAGCGAACAGACGAGGAGCUUGCUCCUCUGACGUUAGCGGCGGACGGGUGAGUAACACGUGGAUAACCUACCUAUAAGACUGGGAUAACUUCGGGAAACCGGAGCUAAUACCGGAUAAUAUAUUGAACCGCAUGGUUCAAUAGUGAAAGACGGUUUUGCUGUCACUUAUAGAUGGAUCCGCGCAGCAUUAGCUAGUUGGUAAGGUAACGACUUACCAAGGCAACGAUGCGUAGCCGACCUGAGAGGGUGAUCGGCCACACUGGAACUGAGACACGGUCCAGACUCCUACGGGAGGCAGCAGUAGGGAAUCUUCCGCAAUGGGCGAAAGCUUGACGGAGCAACGCCGCGUGAGUGAUGAAGGUCUUCGGAUCGUAAAACUCUGUUAUUAGAGAAGAACAAAUGUGUAAAUAACUAUGCACGUCUUGACGGUACCUAAUCAGAAAGCCACGGCUAACUACGU